rnacentral:rRNA from 1 species
CAAUAGCGUAUAUUAAAGUUGUUGCGGUUAAAAAGCUCGUAGUUGGAUUUCUGCCGAGGACGACCGGUCCGCCCUUUGGGUGAGUAUCUGGCUCGGCCUGGGCAUCUUCUUGGAGAACGUAUCUGCACUUGACUGUGUGGUGCGGUAUCCAGGACUUUACUUUGAGGAAAUUAGAGUGUUUCAAGCAGGCAUUUGCCUUGAAUACAUUAGCAUGGAAUAAUAAGAUAGGACCUCGUCCCUACCUUGUUGGUUCGUAUGGAUGAGGUAAUGAUUAAUAGGGAUAGUUGGGGGCAUUCGUAUUUAAUUGUCAGAGGUGAAAUUCUUGGAUUUAUUAAAGACGGACUACUGCGAAAGCAUUUGCCAAGGAUGUUUUCAUUGAUCAAGAACGAAAGUUAGGGGAUCGAAGAUGAUUAGAUACC